rnacentral:rRNA from 1 species
GCGAACGCUGGCGGCAGGCUUAACACAUGCAAGUCGAACGCAUCCUUCGGGGUGAGUGGCAGACGGGUGAGUAACACGUGGGAACGUACCCUUCGAUCUGGGAUAACUUCGGGAAACUGGAGCUAAUACCGGAUACGCCCUUUUGGGGAAAGGUUUACUGUCGAAGGAUCGGCCCGCGUCUGAUUAGCUAGUUGGUGGGGUAACGGCCUACCAAGGCGACGAUCAGUAGCUGGUCUGAGAGGAUGAUCAGCCACACUGGGACUGAGACACGGCCCAGACCCCUCCGGGGGGCGGCGGUGGGGAAUUUUGGACAGUGGGCGCAAGCCUGACCCCCCCCUGCCGGGGGAGGGGUGAAGGCUUGAGGGUUGUAAAGCUUUUUUGCCCGGGACGAAAAUGCCGGUACCGGAAAAAUAAGCCCCGGCUACCUUCGU